UACGUAGGGGGCAAGCGUUGUCCGGAUUUAUUGGGCGUAAAGAGCGUGUAGGCGGCCGGACAGGUCGGCUGUGAAAACUCGAGGCUCAACCUCGAGACGUCGGUUGAAACCGUACGGCUAGAGUCCGGAAGAGGAGAGUGGAAUUCCCGGUGUAGCGGUGAAAUGCGCAGAUAUCGGGAAGAACACCCGUGGCGAAGGCGGCUCUCUGGGACGGUACUGACGCUGAGGAGCGAAAGCGUGGGGAGCGAACAGG
rnacentral:rRNA from 1 species